rnacentral:ncRNA from 2 species
CUCUUAUCAAGAGAGGUGGAGGGAAAGGGCCCUAUGAAACCCGGCAACCAAGUACUUUGUACCAAGGUGCCAAUUCCUGCAGGUUUGUUCUGCGAGAUAAGAG